rnacentral:rRNA from 1 species
GAAGAAGCGCAUACGGUGGAUGCCUUGGCAGUCAGAGGCGAUGAAAGACGUGGUAGCCUGCGAAAAGCUUCGGGGAGUCGGCAAACAGACUUUGAUCCGGAGAUGUCUGAAUGGGGGAACCCACCUAACAUAAGUUAGGUAUCUUAAGCUGAAUACAUAGGCUUAAGAAGCGAACCAGGGGAACUGAAACAUCUAAGUACCCUGAGGAAAAGAAAUCAACCGAGAUUCCCUUAGUAGUGGCGAGCGAACGGGGACCAGCCCUUAAGCUGUAUUGAUGUUAGCGGAACGCUCUGGAAAGUGCGGCCAUAGUGGGUGAUAGCCCUGUACGCGAAAACAUCUUUGCAGUGAAAUCGAGUAGGACGGAGCACGAGAAACUUUGUCUGAAUAUGGGGGGACCAUCCUCCAAGGCUAAAUACUACUGACUGACCGAUAGUGAACCAGUACCGUGAGGGAAAGGCGAAAAGAACCCCGGAGAGGGGAGUGAAAUAGAUCCUGAAACCGUAUGCGUACAAGCAGUGGGAGCCUACUUUGUUAGGUGACUGCGUACCUUUUGUAUAAUGGGUCAGCGACUUAUAUUCUGUAGCAAGGUUAACCGUAUAGGGGAGCCGCAGGGAAACCGAGUCUUAACUGGGCGUUAAGUUGCAGGGUAUAGACCCGAAACCCGGUGAUCUAUCCAUGGGCAGGUUGAAGGUUGGGUAACACUAACUGGAGGACCGAACCGACUAAUGUUGAAAAAUUAGCGGAUGACUUGUGGCUGGGGGUGAAAGGCCAAUCAAACCGGGAGAUAGCUGGUUCUCCCCGAAAGCUAUUUAGGUAGCGCCUCGUGAACUCAUCUUCGGGGGUAGAGCACUGUUUCGGCUAGGGGGCCAUCCCGGCUUACCAACCCGAUGCAAACUACGAAUACCGAAGAAUGUUAUCACGGGAGACACACGGCGGGUGCUAACGUCCGUCGUGAAGAGGGAAACAACCCAGACCGCCAGCUAAGGUCCCAAAGUCAUGGUUAAGUGGGAAACGAUGUGGGAAGGCACAGACAGCCAGGAUGUUGGCUUAGAAGCAGCCAUCAUUUAAAGAAAGCGUAAUAGCUCACUAGUCGAGUCGGCCUGCGCGGAAGAUGUAACGGGGCU